rnacentral:lncRNA from 1 species
AGGUUAUGAUUCCAACUAGUAUCCCCCCUGUUUGCUAUAGUUGCUCCCAGUUUUUGCUUUAUAGCUAUGGGCUCAGUUAAGGGUUUCCUCUAGUGUGCUUAAACUGUUUCCGGGGGGCAGAUUCAUUUGCCUAGUCUUAGGAGGCACCCCCAGUGAAACUCUAUCCCACAGGGUAAUUAAAAGAGAAGGAACCAACGUGUAUAAAGCCCAUUUAUCUGUACCAACUUUUAUAAACCUGCAUCUCAAUUCUAUCAACCUUUAUACCUUUAAUUUCCAUUAGGACUCCGUCUCCGAGGAGUCCUGAGGCUUUCUUUUCUUUUUAUUCCCCAAGUAUGCAUUUUGUAUGAAAGGCUCUGGGGUCCCCAGUGAGGGGCUGAGCCAAGGGACUUUAGUCAAUCUUUUAACUUAAAUAAUUGGCCCCAAGUUGCCCCAAGUAAUUGUUGGUCACGUAGCUCAGGAUAAUUCUUUUCGGGCUGUUUAUAUGUAUGUUUUUAAAUGGGGUAAAGAGAGUGAACUUGUUUGGGGCCCCUUAAUGCCAGAGACCAGAGGGAGCCCCUGGUUCCAUCCCGCCUUGGCUAAAGUUGAUCGAUCCCACUGACAUCUGUUCUUAUUUAUUUAUCCCAUUUGUAAAAUUAAUUUUUUUCUACUUGCCCACAGUAUGCAGAGGUUUGAUGUGGGAUCUCGGUUCCCAGACCAGGGGUUGAACCUGCGCCGCAGCAGGGAAAGGGCUGAGUCUCAACCACUAGACCAUUAGGGAACUCCCAAUUUAUNAACCCGUUCCNCCCUGGCCUCACCCUGUGGGUUAAGGAUCUGGCGUUGCCUUGAACUGCAGCAUAGGUUGCAGACACGGCUCAGAUCCUGCAUUGUGGCUGUGGUGUAGGCCAGAGGCUACAGCUCCGAUUCAACCCCUAGCCUGGGACCCUCCAUAUGCCAAGGGUGCAGCCCUAAAAAGAUAAAAGACAAAAAAAAAAGUUUCCUUAGCCUAAUUCAUAUUCAUGUGUGCAUAUGUUUCCAUAGGAUGGGAAAACAGCCUUUCCUUUAGUUUCUUAGCACCUACAGCAGGACAAGGCAGGAAUUUGGGGAUUUACUUUUGGGGAUAGAUUCUUCCAAAUUUCCACCUUUGGGGGAAGAAGUCUUUAAACUUUGUCUUCUCUUUUUCUUACUUCCUUAUUCAUCAACCUAAUUAACAUGAAUUAUCUUCAUGUCUUACUAACAUCUGAAAGACUCACCGAGAGGAAGCAGAGACCACAAAUGAGGCUUCCCAGAGCGGUCUGCCAGUCUGCUGUUGUCAGUUGAGGGAGUUCUUAGCCUCUCUCUUCUUCGGAGGUGAAAGCCCUCGGGAGGUAUCUUCCCUGUGACGCCGACAAACCCCAGGAAGGUAGCCCGUUCCGGGAACCGCAGCCGGCCAUUCUUCCUCCCGGUGACCUGAGUCCAGCCCCCUGGGUGUCUCUCGACGGGGCCUUCCCCGGUCUGACAGCUGAGGGCAGCCCAUUCAGCGUCCGUGCGGAGCAAGAGCAUCUGGCCAGUGUCUGCACCUGAGCAUGAGCCAAGCACCUCUUCUUGAAACCAAGCUUCCAGGAGGACCUCCUGCGCCUCCAGAGAGGCGUUUAACACCACCGAAUAAAACCUAGAAUCAGCAGCCAAUAAUGAGAGAUGGAGAAGCACAGGAGACUCACCCGGUGCAACUGGACGCUCGGAGAAGGAGAGGCCCGAGCCGCCUCCGCAGGUACCUCGGCUCUGGAGGCUGCCGCGUUCCGGCAACGGAGAGAAGCCUGCUCUGCAUCCCUCUGCGGUCACCAAAAGUGUAGACUGAAAAAAAAAAAAAAAAA